UUCACCAGUCUUGCAGCUUACUAUUCCAAGCCUGUUACCUUAUAGCCGUGCUAUUAAGAAAAUCCAGCUACUUGUUUAAUCUGCACACCUAUUGGUUGCGAUCUUGGACCUCCAGCACUAGUAACCCUUUUGCCAAGACUGGAACAGUAUGGACUUGCUUCAGUCAAUCAUCUUUGGCGGUGCUCUUAUGUGAAAUUUGGAAGAAAGAAACUAGAGAGAGGAUUGUUUUCAGUGGUGGUGAAAAGGAUACUUCAAGGGAAAUAAGGCCAAGAGCAUGGAAACAUUGGACUGUCCGUUAUUUGGAUUGAAUGGCUUCUUGGAGGUUCCUGGCUUUGAAAAGGCAGUUGUUGAGGGGUUUGGAUACCAAGAGACCGUAAUGUCACUCUUGAGUCCUUCAUGGAGAGAAGCCCAUCAUUGGUGUUGCUGGCAAAUAGUUUUUCGCCAUCAAAAGGGAGAUCUUCUAUGGUAUUCUGAACCUCGCGAGGAAAAGAAGAUGAUGAAAGCCAUGAAGCUCGACGCAUCAUGACUGCUGUAGCAGUGGACCUUCCAGCUGCAUUAGCAGCAUCAAGAGCAGCCUGUAGUGCGGUUCGGGAGAUGAUUUGUCCCUCAGAGACUAUGCUUUAAACUGAUGUUUUUUGCUCUCUGGAAUGUCAUCAAUAAAGUCCAUGAGUUUCUCA